GAGCAUUUUGUACCUAGUGGGGCGGGCCAUGUUGGAGGGUAUGCGUCUAUGGGCAGAACAAUAGUGGCGGGGGCGAGUGGGCAUGAUGCCCUGGCCAGCGGCUGCGCCCCCUCUGCUGGACAUGCCAAGGCGCCCAGGGCACGUGCCCUGCUCGACCCCCCUAAGUUACGACUCUGUAUAUAAUAUAUACAUAUAUCUCACUAAAGGGGAUCCUGUGUGUCAUCACUUAUAUUGAUUCCAACUUCGAGCAGGAGUGUGGAAAACUGGAGGGCACCUACGCACAUUGCCACAGCAGAGAAGGAGUACCGGCUUUUGCAGACUUGUAUAGAUAGAUAGAUUUCUCCACUUCUAGAAUUCUCUAAAAUAUGCAUUCACCAACCAUUCUGAGCCUUAAUUACAGAUUACAGCUGGGAAUGGCACAAGCAGGAGCAGCUCAGCAUCCACAUAAUUCCGAGGCUUCUGCUGCAGACUAAGCACCUGGUAGGUUACGCAGCGUGUCCUCCCUCCGCUGGUUGGCUGCUGGGGAUCCACAAGCGGCGUAGGUGCUGAACAGGAAAGAGUCCGCUGACCACGCCCACCGGGAACGUCUCGAGCCACCUUCACUACAUGCCACGCCCACCGCUCUGAGUCACGUGCCGGCUCAGUCCAACGGUUUUCGAGUCUUCGACGUUUGAGCUGACAUCGGCGACAUCUCGCGCUCCCGCCGCGGUGGACCUUCUCUAUGAUUGAAUUGUGAGAUCAUCAGCGGAGCAAACUACAUUUCUGGGCUUCUGUGAGGUCAUCUUUACAACAAAGCAUAUAUUGAAGAUAGGACGUCAGGAGUAGCUGACCCAAGACAGGUAAUUAAUAUUAUUAUUAAUUACAGAUAACUCAGGCUAGACUUUGGUUCUAGACCUGUAGAGGCGCGGUAAUAUGUUUCUGAAAUACAUUAAUAUUUAUGAAAUAUGUGUUUUCUAUACACGUUCUUCCUAAAGACAUUUUGAGAGCUUGAUGAAUUUAGAUCCUCAUACUAUUGUAUGGGUACAGUGGGCCAGAUCAAGACUGAAAUCUGAGCAGGAGAUAGGUGAUAUCUCCUGUAUUAGUAUUCUAAUGAAUGGCCACGAUUCUUAAUUUCUACAAAAGUAGGUGAAAAUGUUCAUUUUCACCUACUUUUGUAUAAAUGUAGGUAAAAUAAAUAGGGCUCUUUGUGAGAAAUCACCCUGCCAAGAAGGCUAGGUGCAAUGAAAUAUUCAUGUGUUUGAGCGCUUGUGUGUUAGGAA